AUACGUAGGUGGCAAGCGUUGUCCGGAAUUAUUGGGCGUAAAGCGCGCGCAGGCGGUCCUUUAAGUCUGAUGUGAAAGCCCACGGCUCAACCGUGGAGGGUCAUUGGAAACUGGGGGACUUGAGUGCAGAAGAGGAAAGUGGAAUUCCAAGUGUAGCGGUGAAAUGUGUAGAGAUUUGGAGGAACACCAGUGGCGAAGGCGACUUUCUGGUCUGUAACUGACGCUGAGGCGCGAAAGCGUGGGGAGCAAACAGGAUUAGAUACCCUGGUAGUCCACGCCGUAAACGAUGAGUGCUAAGUGUUAGGGGGUUUCCGCCCCUUAGUGCUGCAGCUAACGCAUUAAGCACUCCGCCUGGGGAGUACGGUCGCAAGACUGAAACUCAAAGGAAUUGACGGGG
rnacentral:rRNA from 1 species